rnacentral:tRNA from 1 species
AAUUACUCGCCCGGGGCACAGGCUGUCUUGAAAACAGGCUGCGAAUGUUCGACUCAUUCAGUAAUUU